UACGAAGGGGGCUAGCGUUUCUCGGAAUGACUGGGCGUAGAGGGCGCGUAGGCGGCUUACAUAGUUAGGCGUGAAAUUCCUGGGCUCAACCUGGGGACUGCGUCUAGUACAUGUAGGCUUGAGUGUGAAAGAGGGUCGUGGAAUUUCCAGUGUAGAGGUGAAAUUCGUAGAUAUUGGAAAGAACACCGGUGGCGAAGGCGGCGACCUGGUUCAUUACUGACGCUGAGGCGCGAAAGCGUGGGGAGCAAACAGG
rnacentral:rRNA from 1 species